CCCUUAGAUGUUCUGGGCCGCACGCGUGCUACACUGAACGGUUCAACGGGUAAGGUAGUGCGAAAGCAUGACCUAAUCUCGAAAUCCGUUCGUGCUGGGGAUAGAAGCUUGCAAUUAUCCUUCUUGAACGAGGAAUACCUUGUAAGCGUGAGUCAUCAUCUCACGCUGAAUACGUCCCUGCCCUUUGUACACACCGCCCGUCGCUCCUACCGAUUGAGUGUUCCGGUGAGGCUUUGGGAGAAUGGCCUCAACAUGAGUUUAUCGUGUUUUGCCGUUUGAACUUAGUCAAACCUUAUCACUUAGAGGAAGGAGAAGUCGUAACA
rnacentral:rRNA from 1 species